GACGAACGCUGGCGGCGUGCCUAAUACAUGCAAGUCGAGCGAAUGGAUUAAGAGCUUGCUCUUAUGAAGUUAGCGGCGGACGGGUGAGUAACACGUGGGUAACCUGCCCAUAAGACUGGGAUAACUCCGGGAAACCGGGGCUAAUACCGGAUAACAUUUUGAACCGCAUGGUUCGAAAUUGAAAGGCAGCUUCGGCUGUCACUUAUGGAUGGACCCGCGUCGCAUUAGCUAGUUGGUGAGGUAACGGCUCACCAAGGCAACGAUGCGUAGCCGACCUGAGAGGGUGAUCGGCCACACUGGGACUGAGACACGGCCCAGCAUCCGACGGGAGGCAGCAGUAGGGAAUCUUCCGCAAUGGACGAAAGUCUGACGGAGCAACGCCGCGUGGGUGAUGAAGGCUUUCGGGUCGUAAAACUCUGUUGUUAGGGAAGAACAAGUGCUAGUUGAAUAAGCUGGCACCUUGACGGUACCUAACCAGAAAGCCACGGCUAAUUACGUGCCAGCAGCCGCCGUAA
rnacentral:rRNA from 1 species